rnacentral:rRNA from 1 species
CAGUCGCCACGGGAAUACGUAGGGUGCAAGCGUUAAUCGGAAUUACUGGGCGUAAAGCGUGCGCAGGCGGUUAUAUAAGACAGAUGUGAAAUCCCCGGGCUCAACCUGGGAACUGCAUUUGUGACUGUAUAGCUAGAGUACGGCAGAGGGGGAUGGAAUUCCGCGUGUAGCAGUGAAAUGCGUAGAUAUGCGGAGGAACACCGAUGGCGAAGGCAAUCCCCUGGGCCUGUACUGACGCUCAUGCACGAAAGCGUGGGGAGCAAACAGGAUUAGAUACCCCGGUAGUCCCUGUCUCUUAUAA